rnacentral:lncRNA from 1 species
CUUCUUUUCUGCUCCACAUAUAAGAGUGUUUUCGUCUCCUAUUCCAAGCAAGUAGCCAGGCUAAUUGCCGCCUUACUUCAGGGAAGUCUGUGGCAGAAGCUUGAAAGCAAAUGACCUACUACACCUGCUUGUGUCCUGGUCUUCAAGAGCUUGGGUUCCUGAAGUGGAUUAUGCUGGAGGAACACAGCAGAACCUGGGGAAGAAGACAAGGAUUCUGCGGAGCCUAACUGUGUGGUGAAGCUAGGGAGGCUGUACCCUUGGCAACAGGGCUUCCAUUGUGAAGAAAGAUGCCUGCAGGCCAAGAAGAGCAGAGAAACAGAGUCACUGCCAUUCAACAGUUCAUGACAACUUCAACAAUAGGGCCACCAUAAUGAGCCAAAAAUUAGGAGCAAUUCUCCUGUGUUUUAAGGAACCACAAAGUCUCUGAGAGACUGAAGAAGAGAGAACACCCAAAUGACAAAUUAAAUUUACCUCCAGCAAGGUGGGAUUAAGGCUCACAGAAAUAUCCAGCACACUCUCCUCACAUCUACUGGGGUCCAAGGCCUCAACAGCACAGUCUCCUCAACCUGCUGCUCCAGACAUUUCGCUUUUCUUCCUCUGCUUGAAUCCUACAAUCGCAAUGCUUUCCUGCCUCUGUGUUUGCUUGGAAUUUUUUGUCCUUUGGCAAUUUAAUGCUUGUAUUCAUCCAUUUAAUAAUAAGUGCCCAUCUUUUCUAUCUUCAAAUACUUGCCCUUCAUAAGGUUCUCCCUGACCCCUCUGAAAAGCCAUAAUUUCCUCCUUUACAUCUCCAAGUUUUGUACUUCUCUUGGGACAUUUACCCUGUACUACUUUUUGUUAUCAUUUCACAUCUGCUCCUCCCAACAUCUUAAACAUUUAUUGAACAUCUACUAAGCAUCCUAAAGACAGUGACUGUUUCCCAAGUACCUAGCAUAACACCAUAUGCCAUUGACCUUAGGACACUAAACUGAACAGAGCACAGAGCCUGUCCUCAAAGUUCUCAAAGUCUAUGUAUCAUGCUCAGGGAUCACAGGAUUGUAUGUAGUAACUUCUCAGCCUUUGUUGAUCUUGAUUGUCAGCACUUUAAAGCUCCAUUCAGCUACUUAUGUAAAAUUUAAGCAAAAUGAGGAAGAUAAUUUCGUUGGAGAGAAAGCUUCUGGAUGCUUCAGAAUAUGCCACCUCACCUGAAUGGUAACCAUUACACUUGUAAAUAAGAUAAAAUAGCAAGAAAAAUAUAAACAUAUGCUUUGAUUAUUUCCUUUUUGAAAAUCAAUAAGAUCAUUUUUAUUUUCAAAGAAAAUGUGCAAAUAAAAAUAUUGUUACCACUUAUUUGAAAUCCAUGAAAAAUGCUGAGGUGAAGGAACUGUUGUCCAAAAACUGCUUUCUCUUCCCGGGCUUACUUCCUUUGCCUUCAUUGUUUUCUGCUGCCACUCCUGCUUUGGAAUUUGCUGUUAUGUGUAAUAAACUCCAUCACAGUGUCUGUGGAUAAAUCAAGAAAUAUUCACUGGAGAUCUUGUCACAGGCCACAGUCCAGACUUAAUCCCUGCUCUCC